GUCCUGGCUCGGGAUGAACGCUAGCUACAGGCUUAACACAUGCAAGUCGAGGGGCAGCAUCAUCAAAGCUUGCUUUGAUGGAUGGCGACCGGCGCACGGGUGAGUAACACGUAUCCAACCUGCCGACAACACUGGGAUAGCCUUUCGAAAGAAAGAUUAAUACCGGAUGGUAUAGUUUUCCCGCAUGGGGUGACUAUUAAAGAAUUUCGGUUGUCGAUGGGGAUGCGUUCCAUUAGGCAGUUGGCGGGG
rnacentral:rRNA from 1 species